UGUGCCUGUGCCUCGGGAGCGUGAGGAAAAGCUGCCGCGGGUCCCUUCCCCUGCAGCAGCACCUGUUGUCCACCUUUUCUCGGGGAGGGUGAUCCACCCGGGAGAACUGAGCUCCCCGUCGCUCAUUUGCCCCCGUGGUGUGCCCGGCGCGGCACAUCGACGGGCAGAAAUUAAGCACCCCGAGGAGAGAGUCGGACCCGCAAAUGCCUGACCCGGUGGCGCCCAGGCCAGGAGGCAGGCCGUGUCCUCACGAGGACUCCCAAAGCGCCUCGGCCCGGUGCAGGUGCAGCCGUGCGAGUCCCGCGUGGCCCCCUGGGCCGGCAGCUGCCCCGCCACACGGGCCAUGGGGCAGCUCGGAGGGUGCCGAGGGGCUUUGCCUCCUCCCGGCGGGGUUCGUGCCAGUCUGCGGAGUGGAGGGAAGGUAGGGCUGCUCCUCCGAAAUCCACCGUGACAGUUGGUCUGCAAGCACUCGCUCCUCGGGAUGGGUAAGAGAUGAGUGCAGGUCAGGAUUAACAACUUUAUUUUUCAGUUAGGUGUAAAUCAGGGGAUUCAGAGCUGGUAAUUUUCCAAGGGAAGAGUUAAGUUCUAGUGGUGUCGGGCAAAAAUAAUGACUUUUACUUGUGCUUCCUUCCUCCCCCAGCCCUGCAGAGCUGCACUCCCAUCGGGUAUGAUGUGCCUCACUGAGUAAUGCUGUCCAACGUGUAAAGUGGGGAAACGCUGUUAUCAUUUGAGCAAAGAUUAUUGCAGGGUAUAUGUGGGAGGGACUGUAAUGUAGUGGUUAAAGCCUGGGAAUACAGUCCUGGUCGUUUGAGUUAUGUUCUGAACUGUGACUCACUCUGUGUGUGUGUGGUUUCAGCAAAUCAUUUAUGGCCUCAGACAAAGCAGAUUUUUCCAUUAAUUUAAAUGAACUGUAGAUUAAACAGGUCUUCAGUGGCAGAAGAAUCAACCGUUCUAUGAUUCAAAAUUAAGAUCACCUAUCUACCACAUAGGUGUUUCAAUAGUUAUAUAAACACAGCAUGCCCUGGAAUAUUACGAAGGGUAAAUUAUUGAUAGCAGAAAAGUGUUUAGAGACACUUGCCUUAAACACAGUGCCAAAGCGAGCAGCGUUCCCUAAUCCUAACCCUAACUGUAGGCUGAGCCUUCGACAAGGCCCCCAGCCGUGGCCUAGACAAAAAAGUUCUCGCAGCGCAGCACUCUUUGCAGCCUCUUUGUGCUCUUUGCAGCCUGCGUUUUGCUUCGGCAGCCCCCUCCCGGCCCUCCCCAGCUGCAGCUCUGCAUUUUCUCUUCCUCUCAACCUGAACCCUUACGCCAGCACACGUCUGAGCCUUCGACAAGUCUCCGAGUCGUUGCCCAGAUUAAAAAGUUCUCACAGCAGCAUGUUCAGGGAUGUUUGCCUUAACAGCAGGGUCAAAGCGAGCAGUACUGCAAUGCUCGGGUCUCAAGUGUGACCCCAUGCCUUGCCUGUUUCAGCAGUAUUUAGGCACGCAUUAUAAACGCUGGGUGGUGGAAAGGAUUUUUAUGCACUGUCUACUCCAAAUAUCACAGGACAGUUGGAGCUGGAAGGGACCUCUGGGGAUCGUCUAGUCCAGCAUGGUCAUGUGAAAACAGCUGCCAGUCCACGCUUCUGCAGAAAAGGAUGGCAGGCAGAGGCUGCACUGUUGCAGCGUGCCGUGGAUGCAGCAGCUUCUAAUGCAUCUGGCUGUAGACCUGUCUCAAGAACCAAAUAAAUCUUGGGCUGCUGAUAUGUAUUGGAUCCACCACGUGAUUUGUACUGAAGUCCCUUAGGGAGGGGAGAUGAUGUGAACAAAUACCACACAUUAGAAGACUUUUAACAGUGGUGCACAGAAAAGCCAAUAGGACAUUUGUGUAGAGACAAUGCUGCUGUGGAGCCAUGUGCAUCUCUAAUGAAGGAGACACAAUCUCAGUAUAGAUUCCUCUGCAAGGCAAGCUGAGGUUUCCAGGGUCCCAAGAGAUACUAUCACAAGGUGUGGUGCCCUGAUUGGAGUCUAGCAAGAAAGUAACACUCUUAUUCACCCACCCGCCCACCUUUGGCAGAUGGUCUGAGGGUCUCUCCUUUGCUUCAUGACAGAAAGUGGUUGAUUCACUUCCGCCCAGUGGUAAUUAUGUGUUGUUGCCUACUGGAAGUUCCCAUGUUGGCAUCGGAGUGGCAUGUCUGGAAGGCGUUGACUACCAGCCUCCAAGUAUCGAUGCCCAUGUGCUCUGAAGUGCCUGCCUUUAGAAACAAUGGAAGGGCAUUGCCUCUUGCCCUUGAAAGGAUGCAGAGUCUGUGUGCUUAAACUCGCCAAUGGCUGCAGCCAGAGCCCAGGCUUUGGGAGCUCUGUUUUUGUCUGACACCAUCUGACUGCCUGAGCCUUGCUUUUGAGAGCCCAGUGCUGCAGCUGAGGUGAGGUGACCCUGGUUUGGCGGGUCAGACACCCACGCUGUCGAGCCCUCCCAAACAUAAGCGGUGCCUCACCUUUGUGCUACUUUCAGCUGAAGAGAGAGAGGACUUUACCUCCUCUUCUUGUAUCAGGAAGGUCAAUCUCCGCACGGACUGCCUUUUCUUUUAAAUCUAUACAUUAAAAGGCAUCAUAAAAUGCUACAGCAUAGGGGUGCAAUUAAUGACUCUUUGGAAGCAUUGUGCGAUUACUGGCUCUCAGUGCAGUAAAUAGAAAGCAGUGAGGUUCUGGAGUUCAUUUCCAAACAGGUGAGUGGGAACUCUCAAACGAGGAGGCGAUUAGCACGUCUGCAGGUCUGGUUUCUCCUUUCCCUGAAGUGAAGGUGGGCGUUAGGCUGUGGUGUGCAACAUCCACAUCAUGCCUCAUCUAAGAUUUGCCAAUAUUCAUUUGUUGCUUUCUACUCUUUAGCAAUCAAACAGAAACUUUUCAGCUGGUACCUUCUGGGUGACAAGGUUUGAGAAAUAACCUUUCAGUCACUAUUGCAGCAUUGUGAAAAUGUUCUUAGGUGAUAUAACAGCUGCAUCACAUGAGCAGAGCACAUGGUCUCAGAGCUACCUGUACUCUCCAGUAUGGUUCAGAGAGUUUGUUACCAAAA